GUGUGUGUGUGUGUGUGUUCUGGUAAUCAUCACGCGAUGGGGACCGUUGACUGUUUACACAGUCACGUCAUGGGGACCGGUUGCGCUUUGGGGACCAAAAUCCCGGUCCCCAUGAGGAUAACCCUUUUAAAUGACUACUAGAGCUACUCUGAAGGUGCCCGUGAAGUUUUAAGCAUUGGCCCAUACGACAUGUUUUUUGGUGAGUGUGAGUGUGUGAGCAUUGCUCAUUGGUGGCCCUACUGUUUCUAGUUAGUACUGCACCCACUGCUUCACACACACACAUCUUCCAAAUAUGGUUGGGUGCCACCCACUUCCUUGUCCCCAUUAGGAAUGAUUCAAGCAGCGAGGACAUUUUCAGCAUCAAGAGGUAGCUAUCAACAGUAAAAGAAGAUUAUUUGAUGGAGAAACUAGCUAAGAAGAUAAGAACAUGUGCAGAGGAGCAAAAGUAAAGCAUAAGAAAUGCCACCACGGAUCAGCAAUUCCACAUGAUACACAUCUGCAAAUUAGAGGUCCAGUAUAUUUAUGCAGCAAAAGUAUUGAUGCUUUCAGAGAAGAUGGCUCAAUUGGGAGACAAGUUAAUGAUGAACACAGACGUCCUUACUCCAAAAUGAAAAAAAUUGGUGUUAAUGGAGAACCCCACCUUUGUUUAUUUGCC